rnacentral:rRNA from 1 species
CGAGACUAAGCGUACACGGUGGAUGCCUGGGCAGUCAGAGGCGAUGAAGGACGUACUAACUUGCGAUAAGCGCAGAUAAGGCAGUAAGAGCCGUUUGAGUCUGCGAUUUCCGAAUGGGGAAACCCAACUGCAUAAGCAGUUACUGUUAACUGAAUACAUAGGUUAACAGAGCAAACCGGGGGAACUGAAACAUCUAAGUACCCCGAGGAGAAGAAAUCAACCGAGAUUCCGGUAGUAGCGGCGAGCGAACCUGGAUUAGCCCUUAAGCACUCGGUGAAGUAGGUGAACAAGCUGGAAAGCUUGGCGAUACAGGGUGAUAGCCCCGUAACCGACGCUUCAUCGAGCGUGAAAUCGAGUAGGGCGGGACACGUGAUAUCCUGUCUGAAUAUGGGGGGACCAUCCUCCAAGGCUAAAUACUCCUGACUGACCGAUAGUGAACCAGUACCGUGAGGGAAAGGCGAAAAGAACCCCUGUGAGGGGAGUGAAAUAGAACCUGAAACCGUGUACGUACAAGCAGUAGGAGCACCUUCGUGGUGUGACUGCGUACCUUUUGUAUAAUGGGUCAGCGACUUAUAUUCAGUGGCAAGGUUAACCGUAUAGGGGAGCCGUAGCGAAAGCGAGUCUUAACUGGGCGCUUAGUCUCUGGAUAUAGACCCGAAACCGGGUGAUCUAGCCAUGGGCAGGUUGAAGGUUGAGUAACAUCAACUGGAGGACCGAACCGACUAAUGUUGAAAAAUUAGCGGAUGACUUGUGGCUAGGGGUGAAAGGCCAAUCAAACUCGGAGAUAGCUGGUUCUCCCCGAAAGCUAUUUAGGUAGCGCCUCGGACGAAUACUACUGGGGGUAGAGCACUGUUAAGGCUAGGGGGUCAUCCCGACUUACCAACCCUUUGCAAACUCCGAAUACCAGUAAGUACUAUCCGGGAGACACACGGCGGGUGCUAACGUCCGUCGUGGAGAGGGAAACAACCCAGACCGCCAGCUAAGGUCCCAAAGUAUUGCUAAGUGGGAAACGAUGUGGGAAGGCUCAGACAGCUAGGAUGUUGGCUUAGAAGCAGCCAUCAUUUAAAGAAAGCGUAAUAGCUCACUAGUCGAGUCGGCCUGCGCGGAAGAUGUAACGGGGCUAAGCAAUACACCGAAGCUGCGGCAAUGUCUUUUAGACAUUGGGUAGGGGAGCGUUCUGUAAGCCGUUGAAGGUGAAUCGUAAGGUUUGCUGGAGGUAUCAGAAGUGCGAAUGCUGACAUGAGUAACGACAAAGGGGGUGAAAAACCUCCUCGCCGGAAGACCAAGGGUUCCUGUCCAACGUUAAUCGGGGCAGGGUGAGUCGACCCCUAAGGUGAGGCCGAAAGGCGUAAUCGAUGGGAAACGGGUUAAUAUUCCCGUACUUCUGACUAUUGCGAUGGGGGGACGGAGAAGGCUAGGUGGGCCAGGCGACGGUUGUCCUGGUUCAAGUGCGUAGGCUUGAGAGUUAGGUAAAUCCGGCUCUCUUUAAGGCUGAGACACGACGUCGAGCUGCUACGGCAGUGAAGUCAUUGAUGCCAUGCUUCCAGGAAAAGCCUCUAAGCUUCAGAUAGUCAGGAAUCGUACCCCAAACCGACACAGGUGGUCGGGUAGAGAAUACCAAGGCGCUUGAGAGAACUCGGGUGAAGGAACUAGGCAAAAUGGUACCGUAACUUCGGGAGAAGGUACGCUCUUGAUGGUGAAGUCCCUCGCGGAUGGAGCUGACGAGAGUCGCAGAUACCAGGUGGCUGCAACUGUUUAUUAAAAACACAGCACUGUGCAAAAUCGCAAGAUGACGUAUACGGUGUGACGCCUGCCCGGUGCCGGAAGGUUAAUUGAUGGGGUUAGCGCAAGCGAAGCUCUUGAUCGAAGCCCCGGUAAACGGCGGCCGUAACUAUAACGGUCCUAAGGUAGCGAAAUUCCUUGUCGGGUAAGUUCCGACCUGCACGAAUGGCGUAAUGAUGGCCACGCUGUCUCCACCCGAGACUCAGUGAAAUUGAAAUCGCUGUGAAGAUGCAGUGUACCCGCGGCUAGACGGAAAGACCCCGUGAACCUUUACUACAGCUUGGCACUGAACAUUGAACCUACAUGUGUAGGAUAGGUGGGAGGCUAUGAAGACGUGACGCCAGUUGCGUUGGAGCCGUCCUUGAAAUACCACCCUUGUAUGUUUGAUGUUCUAACUUAGACCCAUUAUCUGGGUUGAGGACAGUGCCUGGUGGGUAGUUUGACUGGGGCGGUCUCCUCCCAAAGAGUAACGGAGGAGCACGAAGGUGGGCUAAUCACGGUUGGACAUCGUGAGGUUAGUGCAAUGGCAUAAGCCCGCUUAACUGCGAGAAUGACGGUUCGAGCAGGUGCGAAAGCAGGUCAUAGUGAUCCGGUGGUUCUGUAUGGAAGGGCCAUCGCUCAACGGAUAAAAGGUACUCCGGGGAUAACAGGCUGAUACCGCCCAAGAGUUCAUAUCGACGGCGGUGUUUGGCACCUCGAUGUCGGCUCAUCACAUCCUGGGGCUGAAGUCGGUCCCAAGGGUAUGGCUGUUCGCCAUUUAAAGUGGUACGCGAGCUGGGUUUAGAACGUCGUGAGACAGUUCGGUCCCUAUCUGCCGUGGGCGUUGGAAGAUUGAAGGGGGCUGCUCCUAGUACGAGAGGACCGGAGUGGACGAACCUCUGGUGUUCGGGUUGUGUCGCCAGACGCAUUGCCCGGUAGCUAAGUUCGGAAUUGAUAAGCGCUGAAAGCAUCUAAGCGCGAAGCGAGCCCUGAGAUGAGUCUUCCC